rnacentral:rRNA from 1 species
GACGUAGGAUGCGAGCGUUGUCCGGAAUUAUUGGGCGUAAAGAGCUCGUAGGCGGUCUGUCGCGUCGAAUGUGAAAACCCGGGGCUCAACUCCGGGCUUGCAUUCGAUACGGGCAGGCUAGAGUUCGGUAGGGGAGUCUGGAAUUCCUGGUGUAGCGGUGAAAUGCGCAGAUAUCAGGAGGAACACCGGUGGCGAAGGCGGGACUCUGGGCCGAUACUGACGCUGAGGAGCGAAAGCGUGGGGAGCGAACAGG